ACGCCUGUCAGUUGUUAAAUCCGCCCUCUCACGGCGGGAACAGGGGUUCGAUUCCCCUUGGGCGUACCA
rnacentral:tRNA from 1 species